rnacentral:tRNA from 2 species
AAGAUUUUAAGUUAAAAAAACUAAUAACCUUCAAAGUUUUAAAUAAAAUUUAUUUUUAGAUCUUA